GGCAAAAGAGAGCUUGAUUGCAAGACAUACAGGUCGAGCAAGGAUGAAAAUCGGACUUAGUGAUCCGGUGGUUCUGCGUGGAAGGGCCAUCGCUCAACGGAUAAAAGCUACCCUGGGGAUAACAGGCGUAUCUCCCCCAAGAGUCCACAUCGACGGGGAGGUUUGGCACCUCGAUGUCGGCUCAUCACAUCCUGGGGCUGUAGUAGGUCCCAAGGGUUGGGCUGUUCGCCCAUUAAAGUGGUACGCGAGCUGGGUUCAGAACGUCGUGAGACAGUUCGGUCCCUAUCCGUCGCAGGCGUAGGAAAUUUGAGAAGACCUGUCCUUAGUACGAGAGGACCGGGAUGGACGUACCUCUGGUGUACCAGUUGU
rnacentral:rRNA from 1 species